rnacentral:rRNA from 1 species
AACGAACGCUGGCGGCAUGCCUAACACAUGCAAGUCGAACGAGACCUUCGGGUCUAGUGGCGCACGGGUGCGUAACGCGUGGGAACCUGCCCUUAGGUUCGGAAUAACUCCCCGAAAGGGGUGCUAAUACCGGAUAAUGUCUUCGGACCAAAGAUUUAUCGCCUUUGGAUGGGCCCGCGUUGGAUUAGCUAGUUGGUAGGGUAAAAGCCUACCAAGGCGACGAUCCAUAGCUGGUCUGAGAGGAUGAUCAGCCACACUGGGACUGAGACACGGCCCAGACUCCUACGGGAAGCAGCAGUGGGGAAUAUUGGACAAUGGGCGAAAGCCUGAUCCAGCAAUGCCGCGUGUGUGAUGAAGGCCUUAGGGUUGUAAAGCUCUUUUACCCGGGAUGAUAAUGACAGUACCGGGAGAAUAAGCUCCGGCUAACUCCGUG